rnacentral:rRNA from 1 species
UACGGAGGGUGCAAGCGUUAUCCGGAUUCACUGGGUUUAAAGGGUGCGUAGGAGGGCAGGUAAGUCAGUGGUGAAAUCUCCAAGCUUAACUUGGAACUGCCGUUGAUACUAUCUGUCUUGAAUACCGUGGAGGUGAGCGGAAUAUGUCAUGUAGCGGUGAAAUGCUUAGAUAUGACAUAGAACACCAAAUUGCGAAGGCAGCUCGCUACACGAAUAUUGACUCUGAGGCACGAAAGCGUGGGGAUCAAACAGGA